rnacentral:ncRNA from 2 species
AAAUAAGGACGCGGGAGCUUGUAGUACAGGCUGAGAGGAAGGUACAACCUUCGACCGAAAACCUGAUUUGGAUAAUGCCAACGUAGGGAUGCCUAAUAGUGAACGG